GCAGAUAUGGCCGAUUGGUUAAGGCGACUGACUCGAAAUCAGUUUCCAUCUUGGAGCGUAGGUUCGAAUCCUACUAUCUGCG
rnacentral:tRNA from 1 species